rnacentral:rRNA from 1 species
ACUCCUACGGGAGGCAGCAGUGAGGAAUAUUGCACAAUGGAGGAAACUCUGAUGCAGCAACGCCGCGUGGAGGAUGACGCAUUUCGGUGUGUAAACUCCUUUUAUAUGUCAAGAAAAUGACGGUAGCAUAUGAAUAAGCACCGGCUAACUCCGUGCCAGCAGCCGCGGUAAUACGGAGGGUGCAAGCGUUAUUCGGAAUCACUGGGCGUAAAGGACACGUAGGCGGGAAGCCAAGUCUGAUGUGAAAUCCUACAGCUUAACUGUAGAACUGCAUUGGAAACUGGUUACCUAGAGUAUGGGAGGGGGAGAUGGAAUUAGUGGUGUAGGGGUAAAAUCCGUAGAUAUCACUAGGAAUACCUAAAGCGAAGGCGAUCUCCUGGAACAUUACUGACGCUAAGGUGUGAAAGCGUGGGGAGCAAACGGGAUUAGAUACCCCGAUAGUCCACGCCCUAAACGAUGUUCACUAGUCGUCGGGAUGCUAGUCAUCUCGGUGAUGCACUUAACAGAUUAAGUGAACCGCCUGGGGAGUACGGUCGCAAGAUUAAAACUCAAAGGAAUAGACGGGGACCCGCACAAGUGGUGGAGCAUGUGGUUUAAUUCGAAGAUACGCGAAGAACCUUACCUAGCCUUGACAUUGAUUGAAUUCCGUAGAGAUACAGAAGUGCCCUUCGGGGAACAUGAAAACAGGUGCUGCACGGCUGUCGUCAGCUCGUGUCGUGAGAUGUUGGGUUAAGUCCCGCAACGAGCGCAACCCUCGUGUCCAGUUGCUAACGGUUCGGCCGAGCACUCUGGACAGACUGCCUGGGCAACCAGGAGGAAGGUGAGGACGACGUCAAGUCAUCAUGGCCCUUACGGCCGGGGCGACACACGUGCUACAAUGGGCAGGACAGUGAGAUGCGAUACCGCGAGGUGGAGCAAUCUAUAAACCUGCUCUCAGUUCGGAUUG